GAUCCUGGCUCAGGAUGAACGCUAGCUACAGGCUUAACACAUGCAAGUCGAGGGGGCAGCAUGUUGGUUGCUUGCAACCGAUGAUGGCGACCGGCGCACGGGUGAGUAACGCGUAUCCAACCUACCCUUGUCCAUCGGAUAACCCGUCGAAAGGCGGCCUAACACGAUAUGCGGUUCACCGCAGGCAUCUAACGUGAACGAAAUGUGAAGGAGAAGGAUGGGGAUGCGUCUGAUUAG
rnacentral:rRNA from 1 species